GGCACAUCCCGCGCGGUCCUAAUGCUUGAUGGGUUCCAGCAGACUGAGGACGUGGGUUUGGGACUUUCGGACCACGGCGAGGUGAGCUUGGCCCGGAGCGGCAGAAGUGGGCGAGGUUCGCGUGGGAGGAGGGACAUCGACUUAGUUUUUCUUGAGAGAUCUGACCGUGCCGUGGCUGCAGACCAUCUUCGCGUCAGCCACCGCCCUGGAUCACGCCAAGUGGGUUCCCAGCCCCUGCCGCCUCGUGAACUCCGCCAAAGUCAGCCACGGGAGAUUACCAUAUUCUAAAACUUCACCUGGACCGUUGGUGUGAACGCUGGGACGAAGAUCCAGGAGUUAGGUCGGGAUGUAGAGUGGUUUUGGGCGGCGAGCGCCCUUGCUCAGGCUGGCUGCAAGGUGCUGCUUUGGGCCGGGUAUCCGGCUGAGGGGACCCUGUUGCUGGGGGUGCUUGGCCUAAUGGUUGCAUCUGGCUUGCAAGGUUAAGUUUAAGGACGCCCUCCUGCCCCAAAUCUAUGGUUUGCGCAAUCACUUAUUGCCUACGUUUUAGUUCCUAUCCGUGAACAUUUGGAAUUCUUGAGCUGGUGUGAAUUUCCUGUAACUCUUUUAAACAAUUUAAUAAGUUACUGUCUUGUCAGGGUUUUAAGUUUUUAAGCGAUAUUACAUUUUUAAGUUUUGUAGACACCGCCCUCCCUAUGACUCUUUCAGUGAUAUGUAUAGCCCAACCAUAAAAAUCAAUUUAAAAACCAAACCAACCCAAGGGGCCAUGAUUGCUCUCAGAGCCAUCAGGACCAUCCUGUCUCAUUUGUGCUGGAGCCUGACUGCCGGUCAAGAGUUCUUGGCAUGCUGUUUGUCAGUCCAUGAUUGUAAAUAAAUAUAAAUCUUGUGCCCAGGGGCGGGGGAAACAGGAUUAUUAUUAUUAUUAUUAUUAUUAUUAUUAUUAUUAUUAUUUGAGGGUCCAUAAUAGUAGUUUCUUUGUGUGUUUGCUUUUUAAAAUUUCCGACAGUUUUAAAUAAAGAACUUAUACCAC
rnacentral:lncRNA from 1 species